CGUUGAUCAUGACAGACAUGGAUUUCUGCUAAGGACUCUCUCUUUCCACCGUGUGCCUGAAGGAUGUCUUGCCUAGACACAGGGCAUGCGACUAAGAGACUCACUCUGGGGACAUGCCUUUCAAUUAUUUGUAAAUUGUAAUAUGAGUCAGCAAGCCUCCUAGAGUUCUGGAACAGUCCUCUGAAGGUGCCGUCAGGACACAGCCUGAAGGCAGCAUGCUAAUAAACAUGCCCACUUCUUGGAAUAUAGGGUAUGCAUGAAUUGGACUCAUGUACCAUCUGACACUGUGUCCUCAACAAGAAAACUACAUAUCCAUGAAGGGAAGGAGGAGCCGCCUUGCUAACUGUAACUCCUGAUGCUUCUGGAGGACUUGCUGGUUCCUUGCUUUCCCACUCCAGCUUGGAAAUGGAAAGAAACAGCCCGUGUUGGGGCCAGGCAUGCGGAGACACCUCUUUUUUCUUCGUUCAGGACCACGAGACUCAGGGCCAUGAAGUCUUCCACUGUGGUUUCAGGUGAAUCCAGACACUGUGAGAGGCAUGUGACAUUGCUAAAUCAAUACAGUAAAUAUAUCACCAGUCAGACUCAGUGACCUGAUGUGUCUGGCUCAUCCUCAGCACUAGGACCCUGACCAUGCUGCCGACAAAACUUUAGAAGAGAUGCCUCCUAAAAGGCAGGUUACAUCUGUUAGUGCGACAUGAAGUCAUAAUUUGGACUCACCAUCACUGUGGCCCUACCUUUGACCUCCUGCAGUCUCCUUUCCAUGACUGGAGUGCUAUAGACACUGACAUGCCCCAAGGAAGCCGGUCAGAGGAAGAAAAUAAAUCCAUGCCUGCUUUACCAAG